rnacentral:rRNA from 1 species
CGCGGCAAGACGGAAAGACCCCGUGAACCUUUACUAUAGCUUGACACUGAACAUUGAGCCUUGAUGUGUAGGAUAGGUGGGAGGCUUUGAAGUGUGGACGCCAGUCUGCAUGGAGCCGACCUUGAAAUACCACCCUUUAAUGUUUGAUGUUCUAACGUGGACCCGUAAUCCGGGUUGCGGACAGUGUCUGGUGGGUAGUUUGACUGGGGCGGUCUCCUCCUAAAGAGUAACGGAGGAGCACGAAGGUUGGCUAAUCCUGGUCGGACAUCAGGAGGUUAGUGCAAUGGCAUAAGCCAGCUUGACUGCGAGCGUGACGGCGCGAGCAGGUGCGAAAGCAGGUCAUAGUGAUCCGGUGGUUCUGAAUGGAAGGGCCAUCGCUCAACGGAUAAAAGGUACUCCGGGGAUAACAGGCUGAUACCGCCCAAGAGUUCAUAUCGACGGCGGUGUUUGGCACCUCGAUGUCGGCUCAUCACAUCCUGGGGCUGAAGUAGGUCCCAAGGGUAUGGCUGUUCGCCAUUUAAAGUGGUACGCGAGCUGGGUUUAGAACGUCGUGAGACAGUUCGGUCCCUAUCUGCCGUGGGCGCUGGAGAAUUGAGGGGGGCUGCUCCUAGUACGAGAGGACCGGAGUGGACGCAUCACUGGUGUUCGGGUUGUCAUGCCAAUGGCACUGCCCGGUAGCUAAAUGCGGAAGAGAUAAGUGCUGAAAGCAUCUAAGCACGAAACUUGCCCCGAGAUGAGUUCUCCCUGACUCCUUGAGAGUCCUGAAGGAACGUUGAAGACGACGACGUUGAUAGGCCGGGUGUGUAAGCGCAGCGAUGCGUUGAGCUAACCGGUACUAAUGAACCGUGAGGCUUAACCUUACAACGCCGAAG